rnacentral:rRNA from 1 species
UACGGAGGGGGCGAGCGUUAUUCGGAAUUAUUGGGCGUAAAGGGCGCGUAGGCGGCUUCAUAAGUCAAAGGUGAAAUCCCUCGGCUCAACUGAGGAACUGCCUUUGAAACUGUGGAGCUUGAGGCCGGGAGGGGGUAGCGGAAUUCCCAGUGUAGCGGUGAAAUGCGUAGAUAUUGGGAGGAACACCAGUGGCGAAGGCGGCUACCUGGACCGGAACUGACGCUGAGGUGCGAAAGCGUGGGGAGCAAACAGG